GGGGGGGGGGGGGGGGGUGGCGGGGGGGGGGGGGGGGGGCGAGGGGACGAGGAGCUGGCGGCUCGGAUGGUAGCGGCGGACGGGGGAGUAACACGUGGAUAACCUACCUAUAAUACGGGGAUAGCUGCGGGCCACCGGAGCUAAUACCGGCGAAUAUUUUUAACCGCAUGUGUCAAAAGUGAAAUAAGGUCGUGCUUUCACUUAUAGAUGGAUCCGCGCUGCAUUAGCUAGUUGGUAAGUUAACGUCUUACCAAGUCAACGAUGCAUAGCCUACCUGAGGGGGUGAUCGGCCACACUGGAACUGAGACACGCUCCAGACUGCUAAGGGAGGCAGCAGUAGGGAAUCUUCCGCAAUGGGCGAAAGCCUGACGGAGCAACGCCGCGUGAGUGAUGAAGGUCUUCGGAUCGUAAAACUCUGUUAUUAGGGAAGAACAUAUGUGUAAGUAACUGUGCACAUCUUGACGGUACCUAAUCAGAAAGCCACGGCUAACUACGUG
rnacentral:rRNA from 1 species